ACGGAAGGCAGCAGUGGGGAAUAUUGCACAAUGGGGGAAACCCUGAUGCAGCGACGCCGCGUGAGUGAAGAAGUAUUUCGGUAUGUAAGGCUCUAUCAGUAGGGAAGAAAAUGACGGUACCUAACUAAGAAGCCCCGGCUAACUACGUGCCAGCAGCCGCGGUAAUACGUAGGGGGCAAGCGUUAUCCGGAUUUACUGGGUGUAAAGGGAGCGUAGACGGCAAAGCAAGUCUGAUGUGAAAUGCGGGGGCUCAACCCCUGAACUGCAUUGGAAACUGUUUAGCUAGAGUGCAGGAGAGGUAAGUGGAAUUCCUAGUGUAGCGGUGAAAUGCGUAGAUAUUAGGAGGAACACCGGUGGCGAAGGCGGCUUACUGGACUGUAACUGACGUUGAGGCUCGAAAGCGUGGGGAGCAAACAGGAUUAGAUACCCUGGUA
rnacentral:rRNA from 1 species